rnacentral:rRNA from 1 species
GACGAACCGUCCAAACGUUAUUCGGAAUCACUGGGCUUAAAGGGUGCGUAGGCGGCCCUGUAAGUUGGGUGUGAAAUCCCUCGGCUCAACCGAGGAAUUGCGCCCAAUACUGCAGGGCUAGAGGGAGACAGAGGUGAGCGGAACUUGUGGUGGAGCGGUGAAAUGCGUUGAUAUUACAAGGAACACCUGUGGCGAAAGCGGCUCACUGGGUCUCUUCUGACGCUGAGGCACGAAAGCUGGGGGAGCGAACGGGAUUAGAUACCCCGGUAGUCCCAGCUGUAAACGAUGAGCACUAGUCCGGAGGACCCCCCAUAGUUUUCCGGACGUAGCGAAAGUGUUAAGUGCUCCGCCUGGGGAGUAUGGUCGCAAGGCUGAA